AUCCAACUGACGAGUUCCAAAUAGAAUGAAAUUUUAUAUCCUGGAU
rnacentral:hammerhead_ribozyme from 1 species